rnacentral:rRNA from 1 species
UACGAAGGGGGCGAGCGUUGUUCGGAUUUACUGGGCGUAAAGGGCGCGUAGGCGGCGCCGCAAGUCGAGUGUGAAAGCCCCGGGCUCAACCUGGGAGGUGCGCUCGAGACUGUGGUGCUGGAGUUCGGGAGAGGAGCGUGGAAUUCCCAGUGUAGAGGUGAAAUUCGUAGAUAUUGGGAAGAACACCGGUGGCGAAGGCGGCGCUCUGGACCGAGACUGACGCUGAGGCGCGAAGGCGUGGGGAGCAAACAGGG